AUGCCACUGCUUUGCUUCUCUUCACUUUGUUUUCCAAGCCUAUUUUCCACUCCAAUCUUAUUCAAUACUUGCUUAUUCAUGAUCCAUUUCAUUGAUCAUCAUUUUUGCUCAUCACCGGCUCCCAAUAGUGGUAUUUUCUCGAGAGUUGUCCAAACUACGAAACAACACGAAUAAUGUUUAGGUUUAAGGGUAUAAUAAUGUUUAAAGGUUGUUUAGGUUUAGCAUCUAAGUUCUCUUAUUCAACCUAUAAACAUGGAUCAACCUACUCAUCUACAACGCUACAAUCAACCCACGUACAAAAAUAAUUUUCGUUUCACACGAAUAAGCAAAAAUCUAACUCACACAUAUAAUUAUCCACAAUCCAUGAACCAAUACAUGUUCUUAAUAUUAUACAUCAUCGCCGGCAAGGCUAUCUAACUCACACAAGUAUGCAAAACACAAAAUUUUUUAUUUUUUUAUUUUUUAUAGAUGCACACAAUCAUACAAAAAAAGGUAAUUUUAGAUUUUAGACAAUCUAAGAUACUCCCCCAAAGUUAAACUACACAUUGCCCCCAAUGUUAAAAUGGAAGAAGGGGAACAGAGAUACCUCAGUGAAGACAUCAAUUGUCUUCCUCUUCAUCAGGUGGAGCAGGAGGGUGGGAAUGAGGUGGAAGUGAUGGCGGUGGAGGGAAGGUGAGCUCGGGAUGUGCAGAUGCCUUAAUCGCCAUGCAAGCGUUCUGGUAUUGAAAUUGGUCAAAGAUGGUGGAUUGUAAAUGAUUCAUUUGUACUUGC
rnacentral:lncRNA from 1 species